GCAUAGAAACACCCAAGAAAGACAAGAAAAAGAGGGAUCAAAGAGAGUAAGUGGAUGAGGCAAAGAAAAAGGAAUACAAGUAAACACCACUUCUAAAGCAUCAACUAGAGCAUCAAUUUGAGGAGUGACCAUUCAAAGCCUCCUUUCACUUCAGAGUGAGCUUCCAAAGAUCCAUAAAAAGAGAGCUUCAACUGUCAAUCAUUGAAUUCUAUCACAAGAUCAAGAUCGAGCAAAAAAAGGAAAAGGAAACAACUGAAUUCUGUUCACCAAGAUCCCAACUUUCAAAGCAUUCAAACUUGAGCUUUAACGACAUUAAUCCAACCUUUGAAGAGGUUACUUUGUAUGUAUUUUCUAUCUUUCUUUAGUGCAUGAGAUUAGAAAAUCUAGUGUAGGAUUUUUGGUAUAGAUGACACCGUGGAAAAACAACCGGCUUGUAUGGUUUGGUUGUACCUGUGAAACAAAUAGGUUGCGGUUGAUUGCCCUAGAAAACCGACUAAGUCUUGUUGAACUUGAAAAUCAGCAAGGAGUUCCUAAGUGUUGGAACUCGGAUUUGGUUUUGGUUGAUUACCAGAAAAAUCAAAUGGAUUUGGUUGUAAACUCGAAAAGUAAUGCAUCUAUAAUCGAUUUAUAAAUUAUAGUAAAAUUUUCAAGAAGAAAGUCUUGAAAAGUGGAUAUAGGUGCAGAGUUGGCACCAAACCACUAUAAAAUCUUAGUGUUUAUUUUUUUGUGCUUAUUCUUAUCUUUUACAUUUAUUUAUCAUUCAUGUUGUUGUGCAAACUUAAAUUUCGUAUUAGUUUUAAUUAAAAAUAUUUAAGUUUAUAAAAAGAUUUAAAAAACCCAAUUCACCCCUCCCUCUUGGGUUCUCAUUUUGGGCAACCAAAGGACCUGUCUUUUUUUUCUUCCUUCCUGAGGUGCUCAGGCUUCUUCCCCUACUGUCCCCACUUGUUCUCCCUACUCCCUCCCUCCCCCUAGCUAUCUCCGAUUUGGGGUAUUUGAUUUUCACAGGAUUAUCCAAACAAGCUCUUAAAUGAUAGAUAAUCGGCAAGCACACCAAUUGUCUCUCGAUCAAAACACAAUAUGACGCCAGCAUACUCGCAUUUGAAAUUCAUGUUAUUUUUUUAAAAAAUGCGAGCAAACAUUUUAGUAACAAAUCGAAAUAGGGAGGCCCAUCUUCAGGUGCAUUUGGAUGGCACAUGGAUGUACUGUGAUAUUAUUAUUUUACAUGUGUUUUUGAAAUUGUGAGUUAUGGUUUUAAAAAUUUAGGUAUGCAUUUUCCCAACGGACAUUUAGACAUUUAGACAUCUGUGUUAUACUAUCAUCAAAUUAUAAUAUGUGCAUGUACAUACAACCUUACAGGCAUAUGUAUAUACACACAUAUAUAGUAUUAUUCUCAAAUGAUGUAAGCUUGUGAUGUAAUAGAUGUUUUUUAUUUCCAUAUUACUAGUGAGCCUUGGUCCAAUGGUAAGAUUGCUCCAUUGUGAUAUGGGUGUCACUGGUUCGAAACAUAGAAGAGUCUCUUCACACAUGGGAGUAAGGCUACAUAGAUCUGACCCUCUCCAGACCUCGUAGCGAUAGGAGCUAAGCCUCCUACAUGCGCAAACCAGAGAAGAAGAUAUCUAUUGUUGACAGAGCAUUCAUUUUCAAUAACGAAAAAGCCAGUUUCUGGACCAACCAUUAGCAUCUUAUCUGGUCAAUCAACUAUUAGAUAAAAUAGACUGUAUGAAGUUGUCUUCCCUCAUUUUUCCUUAAAGGAUAGGAAGCAAAUUUUAUAUUGCAAAAUGAAGUAUACAUCAUAUAAGCUAUGGAAUUGUUAAACGAUUUAAAACAGAAGUUUCCUACAUUCAAUUGUGUUUAAUUUUAAGUCCCCAGCAUAUGAUACCAGCAGAAAGAAAUGAAAAGUGAAGUCAUAAUUAUUUCUGAUUAAAUUUAAAGAUAUAUGUUUAAAAAAGAAAGAAUGCUAAGAUGCUCACAAUCUGCUGCAGCGAUGUGCAAAACACAGCUACACAUGCACAAAGAAAACCCUUGGCAUUAAUGUCCACAUCAGUGACCGUGCAAACUCCAACACCAAAGGCUACCCCAACUACAGACAUUAUCACUCUCGAGGAGUAGUGUUUGCUGUUGAGUAUCCAUUCCAUCAUGCAAACCACUGGUAUCAUGCUCAAUUUUGAGAUCUGCAUGUUUAACAGGAGAACGCAAGAUAAGAAAUAUAUUUCUCAAACACACACAAAAAAAUCAUACAUUUCUAGCCAACAGGCAUAAAACAACAGACCUGGUAAAACCCCACCGAGUUCAGCAUGAGACUAAGGUUCAUCCCUGUAAUUGAUAGAUUAGCAACAAUGGAGAACCACAAGAGCUCCCAAAAAGGAACGUGCUUGGGCACAGAUAAACCAGAUGCAUUUGAAAGGUAGCCGAUAAUGCCCGUCAGGGUAAAAUGAAACCCUGUUAGCGUGGUAGCUGCAGAAAUUCAUGUACCCUCAGUAAAGUUCAAUUAUAUUUAAGAAAACUAAUAACAAAAACAAAUCCAAAAUGGUAUAGAAAAGCGUGGCUUUUGUGAAUCCUAAUUAACUCAUAAUUUCCAGCAAUUAAAAAAAGAGGUAAUUUCGACAUCACCAGAAAUCACCCCAUGCUGCGGUUUUUAUGCUCCAAAUAAAAUUACAUCCAAGCAGACUCAUUCUAAAACCUUAUCAACUAACCAAAUUUAAGAUUUCCAACAAAGGGUUCCAGCACCAAAUCUUUUUGUGCCUCACAGGUCAUUUAAAGUCAAGUGAAUUCCGGUAAGUCAAAGAUCUUGACAGACAGGUUUACAAAUAGAUCCGAGAUCAGUUUAAUUUAUCAAUCCAUAAUAGAAACUCACAUUGAGAUCUAUAUCAUCGGAAACUCUUCAAAAGAAUAACACCCAGAUUAAUCAUCUUUUCAACGUAAAAGUUGAAUCUUUAUACAUUAAUUCUGCCCUAAUAUACCAAGAUAGAAAGACAUAUAAAGAGAGAGAGAGAGACGAAAAGGAUACCGAAGCUGAAUCCAUAGCCACCGGCAGACAUGAGCUGCUUGUUGGCCAUGAUAAGCCCCACGGAACUGACCACAUUCAUCGCCCACGCCCCCAUAUCCGAGACGACGACCUUGUUCUCCAUUUCCAUCGCCUAUUCGCCUUCUUCCAAUCCCCUCUUCUCAACGAAAACCCAAUCCCUGAUCCCUUCUCCCACCGCCCAAAUCCCCAGUCGGCUGCAAAUGAAUCCUCAAGGAGACGAAAUUGGGAGGGCAAGAGGGAGAAGAAAUCAGCUAUUGGGAGUGAGACCGAGGGUUUUGAGAGAAGAAUUAUAUAGAGAAGACGAGGAAAGACCGAAACUUUCCCCGCCUUGACGCUGGCGCCGAAGAAUAAGCAUUCACACCAUAGGGAAGAAAAUGGAGCUCGGGGAAAACUGGGGGAGGGAAUUAAUAGGUCUCCGAAGGUUCCGAGAUGGAGGGAAAAGGGAAGAACGCGUGCACCGACGGACAGCGCGCGUUUUAGGCGUACCGCGUUGGAUGCAGCUGGAAUUGUUCCGAAUCAGCCAUUUAGGCUAUCCGGGAAUCGGACAAGCGGACCAUUUGGUCGUGGUUGGUGGGAGGUACUGGUCUCAUGGGAUGAUCCCUGGUCUCAAGGUUUAUUUUUUUUAAUUCAAUUUGGUUGUGGUUUGGAAAGUCUUGAACCAAGAAAUUUAAUCAGCUUCGAUUUAAAUUUUCAGAAAACUGAUCCGAACCAAUCUGGACCGACCCAACCCCGCCCAUAUAGAUAUAUAUUCAAAACAAUUUGAUCCGAUCCAUAUAUAUCUAUAUAUAAAAAUUUUAAUUUUAAUAUAUAUAUAUAUAAUAGAAUUUUUAUGUUUAGAUUUAUUCCAUCGCAUUUGGUCCAAUCCAUUGGAUGCCAAUCCUAUUUAAAAUAGAAUUUGGGAUUUGUUCUAUCCCUUGACACCUCCUUGACUCACGAGGCAUUGUCUAGAGCACAGGUGAUUUAGGGGGAUGUGGCCCCAGAAACUGAGGAUUUAGGGGUUAGAGUCCCUGACUAGUUUAACCAAAAUGCCUUUCUUUUCUUUCUAAACUUCUUUUUUUAUUCAUGAAGUUAAGUGCAACCGCAUUUCGGAUUGCACGAACAUCCCCCGCAAAAGCUUCUUUUUGAUAAUCAUAUGCCUUUUUCAAAAUCAAAAGUAUAAACAUGUAUGCUUUUAAUAUAAUUCUUUUGUUAUAAAUAAUGAUUGAUGACCUGGCGACAGAGGAUCUAAAUAACAUGAGCACAUGAACAUUUUAUUCUAACUUAAUUUACAUGCAUAUUCUUAUAAAAAAGCAAUGGUCAUCCCUAAUAAUAUUAUUUUGGCAAAAUGGUGAUUCAUUCACCAAUAAUUCAUUAAGAAACGAAAGAAAAAAUGUUGCCAAAUUUAAGAAGCAGAUUCCAUGUUUUGGUUAAAAAAAUAAAUUUUAAGAUUUUGCAGAGGAAUUUGUCCCGGACAUGCACAUGAGGAAGAAAUGGCGGUGGUGUCGAUGCUCCAUCGGAAAAUGGAUGUUAUCGAUGAUCAUAAAGUUUUUUGUGGCAAAUAAUGGUUGUGAUUUAUAUAAUGUUGUAUAUUUAAUAAAUUAGAAUUUGAUUAUAAACUAUUCAGAAGCUGUAAAAUUUGAUGGCUUUAAGCCUAGUGAAGUAAUGAAUGCAUGAGAGUUACUGAUAUGUUAUGGAAGGAUGCAAGGUAAAUGCAGGAUCAUUGUUAUACUGAUGAGAGAAGACUCUUUUUGAUCCUUGGGCACUAACUUCUUUUACAAAUGACAAUAACAUGGCUAACUAGCUAAGAAAGGAUAUAAGAUUUAUGUGACUAGAAUUUAAUUUACAAAGUGUCAAUUGAAUUAUGUAUUGGUGUAACUUUCUUUGGUUUGUCCUUCUUUCCUGUUUGUCAAAACUCUGUAAUUUGUCAAAGAAAUUUCCUAUGGCCUUUGUAAAUGUAGAAAAAGAAAAUAACUAUUUUAGCAGUUUCAGGACUCCACUAUUACAUGUCUUCGCAUAAAAUAAUUGUGAUGUAUAUUCUAUGAUCAUUGUGAUGCUCCUGUGUUACCUGAAGUUGGCCUUUGAGAUAUAUAAUUUAAUAAUUAGUAAUUAUUUCCUAAUGUGCGAUGCUUCUAAUUUAAUGUUAUCACAUGAAGAUGUAACAUGCUCAUUGUGGGCCAUGGUAACAGCUCAUAAGAACCAUCAUAACGGCAAUAAUAUAUAUCAAGUGAGUUUUUAGUGCUGGUUAAAAAGUCAUUAAUAUUUUAGGACAUCUGUAAAAAUAAUAUUAGUUGUUUUUUUAUUUAACAACAAUUAAUAAUAGUUUCCAAAAUUUUAUUUAUCACUCAAGACAUAUUGAUAAGAUAAAUUAUGGGAAUAAGAUAAAAUUAUAAGUCUCGAUAAAUUAUGAAAUAGUGCAUAGAAAGAUUGGUUGUCAAAAUUAAUAGCAUAAUAGAAUUUUUUAACUACCUUGUUGAGAAAAAAUAGUUUAGUUAUUAAAAAAUAGUUUAGCAGUAUAAAUAAUUAUAGUCAUGAACAAGUAAUAACAAACUUUAUUUUAAAAAAAAACUCAAAUAGAAAUAACAGAUUUAAGAUAGCAAAUGAAACCAUAAAAUAUUUCAAACUUCGCAUCCAAAUCUUGAAAAGAAUUGGGUUCCAUUAUUGUGAAUAGCAUCCGGAGUUGUAUCUCUAACUUCAUCCAUUACUUCCUGGUGACUUGGUUGCACAGCUGCAUCUAGAUAAAGAAUAUCAUCAGGAAUUACUUCCUGACUUUCACAACAUACUUUUCAUCCUGAAAUUGCUCAAACAGCUUAUCAUUCAUGUCCUCUUAAAUGAUGUAGUUGUGGAUAGUCAUGGAAGCAACUUCAAUAAACAUUUGUUUCCCUUUGAAAUUCAUAUGAAGCCAUACAAUGCAAGAUUGGAAAAUAUGCUUCCAAGACAGUAAAACAAGCACAAAAAAUUCUCUAGCAAGCUCUGCAUGGUCAAUCAUAUGGAGAGCAUUGUCCAGAUCACUGCAUAUGCAACAACACCAAUCUAACUAAAGGCGAGUAGAAGUGGCAUUUAAAAUGGAGGAAUAAAGAAAGCUAAUGGACCCUCAUCCAUUAGUUCUAGGAAAAGAGAAAAUGCAGUUAUUUUUCCUCUUUUCUAUCUCUCAACUUGGUCUCUCCCUGCUCUUCUUUGCCACCAAGCAACAUAGCACCAUCUUGUCAUUAAUGUCAAGAUAGUGGAUGGUGCCCAAAACCGAUGUAAUAGUUGUUAUGUAACAACAUAGAACCUUAUCCAAAAAAGUUAGUCAAAAGAUAUUAUUUGAUUCCUUCAUCUUGUAUAAGUAUCCAAGAUCUACUAAGUGCAUAGCUAAUGUGAAACUAAACAUACGCUUAUACAGAUCCUCACAUACUUUUUCCACUUAAGUCAUGGUAUCCUCGCCGCUCUAAGAAUUCAGAUCUAUUCAAAUCUAAUCAUAAACAUCAUGAUUGGCAUGGUCAGCCUCAAUAGGCAUAUGCUGCAGUGUCCUCUAGUCCACAUAGGCUAUAGAUCAGUCCGCUCUGAUACCAUUUGUCAGAACACAGGACCUCGCCCAAAAAGGCUAGCCAAAAGGUAUUAUUUGGAUUUUUUAGUCCUUUAUAAAUAUCUAAGAUCUACCCAGUGCAUAGCCGAUAUGAGAUUAAACACAUGCCCAAAUAGUUCCUCACACAUUAUUAAUGUCAUAGUAACUGUUAUUUUAUACCUUGAUUGCACUUGUGCUAACAAGAAGUAGCCCUACAUAUCCCUCCCUUGAAAUUCAUUAAAAUAAUGAAAGGCCGACGUGGAAGAAAGAAAAAGAAGAGAGAGAGAAGCACAUCAUUCCAACAACUAAUAAGGCCUCAAAAAGAAAAUUCAGGUAAAAAAGUACGAGGAACCCAAAUGAUCUGAAUUUGAAAUUUGAAAUUAAAAGUUGAAAUUCAACAGAGAGAAUUUGAAGCUGCGAUAUACAGCAAAAUACACGACUUCAUGACUACCAUCCAAUCCCAAUAUCUUACCACCGCUGAUAUCACUUGUCAUCAAGCUGAAGAGAAAGCAAGGAAGAAGAGAAGGGAAAGAGAGAGAGAAGGUGAGGAAGGAGGGGAGAUACAAAUGACAUAUGAAGUGAAAAGAAUAAAUGAAUUUAUUGACUAUACUAGUAGUUUAACACCUCGUAUUCAAUUUAAGAACACACCAUUCUGGUGUUAAAUGGUUUCCCUACAUUGACUGAUAUUUGGCAUUCAAUUCAGCUCUCAGAUAAUGAGUACAAUCAAUAAACUUUUUGUCACGCCCCGAGCCCGAGGCGCGGCAGACGCCGCACGCCCGCACGGCGGGCCGCGCAGGCGUGCAAGGCAACAUAUCAUAUCAAAGCAAAUACAGAUGUUCAAAACUGACAUAAUUAUUUAAAUUUAUUCAAAAGCAGUCUUACAAAAUUUCAAAAUAACAUUUGCUAACAUAAUUCAAAUGUCCAAACUAAUCUAACUGAAAUGCCAAUAACUGAUGGAAUCAUCGGAACAUCUAACGCACUCCCCAAUCCCGUGCGAUCAAGCCUCUGGAUCUGAAAAACAGAGAAAAUAAAAUAAUGAGCUACACUAGCCCAGUAAGCAACAAAAUACCCCAAAGUGGGGUCGGAGCAUAUCAGGUCAAAAUACAGGAUAAUGGCUGGAAUAAAUCAUAAAUAACAUCGUUUUACUAUUUUCAAAACUUAUUAUCAUUUUUCCAAAAACUCUGAUACCAGAAUCUCAACAUAAUAGGCUACGGCCACGUAACCCAGUGGCAUGGGUUGCACAAGGUGCCAAAUCCACUAUUUUUAUCCACCGAUGGCAGCCGGUGUUGCACAAAAGUGCCAAANNNNNNNNNNNNNNNNNNNNNNNNNNNNNNNNNNNNNNNNNNNNNNNNNNNNNNNNNNNNNNNNNNNNNNNNNNNNNNNNNNNNNNNNNNNNNNNNNNNNNNNNNNNNNNNNNNNNNNNNNNNNNNNNNNNNNNNNNNNNGGCAGGGCUAGAACAGAGCAGAACAGAUCAUAGCCAUGCUGAGAAUGCAUAUAUACAGAAAAAUAGAUUUCAUAAAUUAUCCAGUCAUAUUUUGCGAUUUCAGAGCAUAUAACAAAAUUUUCAAAUGAAAUUUAACAUGCCAGACUCAUUUUACUAAAUACAAAACAUAUUUCGAAAUUAAUCCACUAAUAAUUAUUUUACCAAAUAAUUUUGAAAAUGCACUUUGAAGCAUUAAGUUACUUACCUCUUCUCGCUUAAUUCCUACUUCAGAUAGGCAGAUCAGGUUCACCUAUUUAAAUUUAAUUAAUUCUUUGUUAAUAUCAGAAUUAAGCAAAAAUCCAAAAAUAGUACUAUUGGACACGGCCCAACAGGGCCCAGAGUUGGCCCAUAAUAGGCAUGGCCCGAUAGGCCCAUAUUGGGCACGGCCCAAUGGGCCCGCAUAAAUCCAGCUAAGUAGGGCCCCCAAGGUUGGCUUCUAAUUAGUUCAUUUAUACAAUAAAAUUUAUUGCAGGGACUAAUACUUAAUUUACAGGGUACUAUUUUAUAAAGCUCGAGUGGGCUAAAUAAAAUAUAGUUGGGGACCUUUAUGUAAUAAAUCUUUUCUAUAGGGAUCAGAUACAAAUUACAGAAGGUCCUAAAAUAACAUAAUGUCAAGGGCUUAUCUGUAAAAUUUUAUUUAUUGGCCAAAUGGGUUUGGGUUUCNNNNNNNNNNNNNNNNNNNNNNNNNNNNNNNNNNNNNNNNNNNNNNNNNNNNNNNNNNNNNNNNNNNNNNNNNNNNNNNNNNNNNNNNNNNNNNNNNNNNNNNNNNNNNNNNNNNNNNNNNNNNNNNNNNNNNNNNNNNNNNNNNNNNNNNNNNNNNNNNNNNNNNNNNNNNNNNNNNNNNNNNNNNNNNNNNNNNNNNNNNNNNNNNNNNNNNNNNNNNNNNNNNNNNNNNNNNNNNNNNNNNNNNNNNNNNNNNNNNNNNNNNNNNNNNNNNNNNNNNNNNNNNNNNNNNNNNNNNNNNNNNNNNNNNNNNNNNNNNNNNNNNNNNNNNNNNNNNNNNNNNNNNNNAUCUUUGCAUCAUUGAGCUAAAUGUGUGCGUUCCUUUGUGUAUGGGGCCAUUAGGGUCUAGUAAAGUUUUAGAUGGACAAAUUCUGCAAAAAUAAAAAAAAGUGACCUGUUUUGGCAAUAUGCAAAUAGACUAGGUUUUUGUGCAAACACCUUGUUUAAAUUGGUAACUACAAAUAUAAUAUCGGUAUUUGUGAAUUAACUGUGUUCUAUGGAUGAUGAUGAAGCUAUUGGAGGUGGUCAUGGUGUUACUAGCACAAUCCUAAUGAACUUCACAAAGAAGUUGGGCUUUGAACAUUGCAUCUAUGAUGCUGAUCCAAAUGUGUGAGCUAGUGAUGAUGCUGCUACAUUAUUAGAUAGCAAUCAAGUCAAAAUAAGGAAAAAAAAAUCUCACAUUGAUGACGAUGGCUGGGUUGCUCGGACACUUUGAUUCAACUUCUAGAAUCUAUGUUAUCUGUAUUUGAACCAGAUACAUGUCAUAUACUUGGAUACAUAUCAAACAUUUUCAACUACAACUAUUAUAAAUUGGAAGAAAGUUAGAUUCCAACAAUGAGCUCCCCAUAACAAUGUCGAAAGUAAACUUUUGGUCUUUUUAGGGAUUGGUCAAUAUGUAGGUAUUAAAAUAACUUUACAAAAUCUCAAAAUUGUAAAAUCCUUAAGCUAAUUAGGAAGUUUAAAUGAGAAACAUGUAUUUUGGGAGACCCUUAUAAUGAGGUAUUUUAAUAGUUUUCUUCUAUACAUUAUUGAAUAUUUAUAUUUAGCUAAAAUUAUUUUUUGCACAUCUCUGUAUCUCCUUAUUUUUCUUUUGCUAAUGCGGCAUUUAGAUACAUGUUUGAAUCUAGUCUGUGUUGUUGCCUAUGCAAUAUUGCAUAAUGGGAACUUAAGUUUGAAGGACACUUUCCAGUAGGGUCUGUUGUGCCAAUAACGGGCACUGUACUGGUUGCCCAAUGACAUGAGUCUGUACGGACUUGCACCGUGCCAUGCCAUGCUGUGCUGGGCCUGUACUGACAUAGGAGACCGUGGGAGAGAGGAAAAGAGAGAGCGAGCGAAGGAGGGAGGGAGAGAGGGAGGCUGUCGGAGGUCGGUGGUGGUGUGGGUGGCGGAGGCCGGGGUCGGACCUUCUAUUUCGUUUGAACAGGGGUCCGGCCACCAGUGCCGGCCUUCGAUAGCCUCGGCCACGUCGGCCGACCUCCCUCCCUCUCCCUCUCCCUUCCCUGCUCGCUCUCUCUUUUCUUUUCUUUCCUUCUCCUCUUUUUUCGGUGACGGCGUUUCGGUUUUUUUGCCGAAACCGUCACGGUAAGCCGCCGGUACGGCUCAGGAUGCCUCAAACCGGACGGUUCGGGACAGUUCCACUGAUCUUGCCUUCUAGAUUAGAGUUGUGUUCUAUGGUUAUAAUUAAGGUCUGCCGUACCGGUACCGGUAGGCGUACUGGUCGCCUACCGGGUUGGUUCGGUUUGUACCGAAUCGGUAAGUUUUUUUUUAUCUUUCGGUUUUCGCAUCCGUGUGUGGGUGUCCAUGCACGGACGCGCGAGAUAAAUGCCACAGAGUGGCAUUAAUGAGCUCGUGCGGGUUGGGAAAACGUGCGGGCGGGGAAAACGCUCGCGUGGCGCUUCACAGCGCGGGGAACCGUGCGCGGACGCGGUUCCCUAAUGUGCGGAACAGCGCACCGGCGGGGAAAGGGAUAAAUGCCACAUUGUGGCAUUAAUAAGCCUGCGUGGGCGCGGGCGCACUGCCCCACGCGGGCUGGGGAAGCGUGCGGGCGUGGGAACCGCCCGUGCGGCGUUUAAUAGCGCAGGGAAAGUGCUCGUGCACGAUUUCCCGGUGCGCGGAAUCGCGUGGGGCGGGGAAACGCGCGCCCGCGUGGGGUAGGGUGAUGGGGGCUCACGGUCCAAAGCUCUUACCAUGCCCCUUUCCUCGUGCUUCUUGCGUGCGCAUUUAAAAAUCGCUGAUGAUGGACCGAUUGCAGGUAACGUCGGUGGAAUAAUUCAAUAUAAAGAUCAACAAUGAAAGCAAAUUGGAUUCUAUUCCAGUUAAUUGAAGAACAAAUAGCAAGAACGAUGAAACAAAAGAAAUCCAGCAAGAAAUUGAAGAGCUCCCUUCCUAGCCCAAUUUAACGGAGAUUGAUGUAUCUACCACUAGCCUAAGUCCUAGAACAUAAGAUCUAAGGACUGAAAUCGGCACAAUCACCGCCCAAGUCUUACGGCCGACUCUCUAACAAGAGAACAAGACUAAAACUCAACUCUGGAAUAACUCUGGGAUGCCUCCCAAUGGCCCUUUACAACUCUAUUUAUAGGCUAAGACCCUAGAUAAAAUUAAGUAACCCUCUUUGUACUGUGGGCCUCUUUAUGGGAUAUUAUGUGGGGCUGGGAUGCUUUUUGUCGUUAUGGGACAUUGGGUGAUGGCUUUGGAUUUAAGGUCUUUGUAAUGGAGGAGAAUUAAAUGGUCAAUGCUAUGCAUGAUGUGUUUUUGACUGGGGAUAGGGUGAUCUGGUUUCAUGGUGUGGCCUCAACAAAGUACAUCUGCUGAUGUGUUUUCUAGGCUGUAGCAAGGACUGUAGAAGGUUGUUGGGAUGAGGAUGCUUAACCUUUGAGGUUUGCCUUGUUGCAAUGGGGUUUGGAGAACUUUGCAUUUUAUAUAUAUGGGAGCCGAUGAUUGCUGCUCAAUGCUUGUGAACUGAAGAUUGAAUCAGAUUGGCGUGUCUCGAUAGGAGGGGCAAGGCAAAAAUCAAAUCCUACAAGGAUAAAGUUCUGUUUUUUGUGGAAUCGGUAGUUUUACUUGAGUUAAAAAGGUAGGUGGAAGUGAUGUACAUAUCUCCCUCGUAUGCAAUUGAAUUGCUAAAAUUUCUGCUACCAUUUGGUUUGGUAAGGUCGCAAGCCUCUCGGUGGGUUGAGAUGUUUGGCUGGCAUUUAGCCAUGCUAGUCUAUGCAUUUUUUUCGUUUAAUAUAAACUUUUUCCUUUCUUUGCAUUCAUGUGCAUGUAUGGCUGAUCUCAUGUCAGAGAAGAUCUCAGAGGAAAAUGGAAUCAAGAUUUUGUUAGAGCGAAUGACAUCUUGUAAUGGGUGGGUUGAUGGGCAGAUGGUCUAAUCAUGGAAGUAGGUGUAUGAUGGGUUUGCCACUCUGUUAAUGUAAAAAUAAACUUUUUAAGAACUGAAAAGGGAGGCUUUUCAAAACAAGAAUGAAACAAAUAGACAUGGCGUAAAGAGCAGAGCUAGGAAGCAAGCCUUUUUCUUCUUUGUGAGGGCUUGGAUAUAUUGGAUCCACAUGAUGAAGGGGAAAAAUAUCAUUCGAUGAAUAGUAAUAAAGGGUUAUGUAACAUGUAUCAUUUGCAUGAAGGAAGAAAGAUGGAUUAUGUGAGCAAUCAGAUUUGAAACGGAGGGAUAAUGCCCAUGCAUAUUCUUUUACUCCAAUUAUUUUGUAUGAUUCUUUCAGACUGAACUUGUUAUUUGGUCUAUUGAUCAAGCUGCUAAUUAUUUCAAGGAAACACAUACUACAUCAUGUAUCGAGUUUAUUCUCGGUCUUUGAUCUGCUGGACUGUUUGGAUGUUGAGGUGUUGUCCUUUCUGCUUGUACAGCGUGUAAAUUGUCCCUUUGCUUGUUAUGCCAUAAUUUUCUUUCCUUAUAACUGAGGGCCAUAUAUUGGGUGUGUGUCCUUGUAUUGUUGCAGCCAUUACAUCUGGUCUAACUUUAACUUAGAAUUUAUGAGAACAUAUGAGUUAAGCUAAGUCUCCUAAGAAAACAGUCAUUCUUUCUUGAUUGUAUCUGCUCUGUUCCGUGCAAGAUAUUACCUUCCAAAUUAACGGACACUGAGAUUUAUUGAGUGAAUAAUCGAUAUUGCUUGGAUCAUACAUGUAUUGGCAAUUAUUCCCUCUUUUCAUGCAGGGAGUGCAGGAAUUCUUUUUGUUGUUUUGUUUUUCAUUGCAUUCCUUUUCAUUUUCUUGGGUACCAUUAUUUAUAAAUAAAAUUUCCAGCAUUUUCACCAUAUUAAAAACACACCAAAAUAGUGGUAUAUACUAUUUUUAUAUCUCUUAAAAAUUUGAAUUUCAAAUCCAUUAAUUAGUUUGGUUUUUGACUCCCAUAUCCAGAACUCAAGGCUUUUUAGCACUCUUUACCGGUGACACUGGUGAAAUUCGUGGUGAAGUCAGAGAGCGGAUAGAUACAAAAGUGGCAGAGUGGAGAGAGGAAGGAAAAGCUGAGAUAGUCCCGGGUGUCCUGUUCAUUGAUGAGGUCCACAUGCUUGACAUUGAAUGCUU
rnacentral:lncRNA from 1 species